AUUGAACGCUGGCGGCAUGCUUUACACAUGCAAGUCGAACGGUAACAGGGUGCUUGCACCGCUGACGAGUGGCGAACGGGUGAGUAAUGCGUCGGAACGUGCCGAGCAGUGGGGAGAACGCAGCGAAUGUUGUGCUAAUACCGCAUAAGUACUGAGGUAGGAAGUGGGGUACCUACGGGCCUGCAGCUAUUCGAGCGGCCGACGUCUGAUUAGCUAGUAGGUGAGGUAAAGGCUCACCUAGGCGACGAUCAGUAGUGGGUCUGAGAGGAUGAUCCGCCACACCUGGACUGAGACACGGCCCAGACUCCUACGGGAGGCAGCAGUGGGGAAUUUUGGACAAGGGGCGCAAGCCUGAUCCAGCAAUGCCGCGUGCAGGAAGAAGGCCUUCGGGUUGUAAACUGCUUUUGUACGGAACGAAACGGUCCUGGUUAAUACCUGGGGCUAAUGACGGUACCGUAAGAAUAAGCACCGGCUAACUACGUGCCAGCCGCCGCGGUAAAAC
rnacentral:rRNA from 1 species